rnacentral:tRNA from 1 species
CAGGUAGCUCAGUUGGUAGAGCAGUGGACUGAAAAUCCUCGUGUCGGUGGUUCAAAUCCGCCCCUGG